UACGGGGGGGGGCAAGCGUUGUUCGGAAUUACUGGGCGUAAAGGGCUCGUAGGCGGCCAACUAAGUCAGACGUGAAAUCCCUCGGCUUAACCGGGGAACUGCGUCUGAUACUGGAUGGCUUGAAUCCGGGAGAGGGAUGCGGAAUUCCAGGUGUAGCGGUGAAAUGCGUAGAUAUCUGGAGGAAUACCGGUGGCGAAGGCGGCAUCCUGGACCAUUACUGACGCUGAUGCGCGAAAGCUAGGGGAGCAAACGGGG
rnacentral:rRNA from 1 species